UGAACGCUGGCGGCAUGCCUUACACAUGCAAGUCGAACGGUAGAGGGGCAACCCUUGAGAGUGGCGAACGGGUGAGUAAUAUAUCGGAACGUGCCCAGUCGUGGGGGAUAACGCAGCGAAAGCUGCGCUAAUACCGCAUACGAUCUAUGGAUGAAAGCGGGGGACCGCAAGGCCUCACGCAGCAGGAGCGGCCGAUGUCUGAUUAGCUAGUUGGUGGGGUAAAGGCCCACCAAGGCGACGAUCAGUAGCUGGUCUGAGAGGACGAUCAGCCACACUGGGACUGAGACACGGCCCAGACUCCUACGGGAGGCAGCAGUGGGGAAUUUUGGACAAUGGGGGCAACCCUGAUCCAGCAAUGCCGCGUGUGUGAAGAAGGCCUUCGGUUGUAAGCACUUUGUCCGGAAGAAUCGCGCUGGUUAAUACCUGGCGUGGAUGACGGUACCGGAAGAAUAAGCACCGGCUAACUACGUGCCAGCAG
rnacentral:rRNA from 1 species